UACGAAGGGGGCUAGCGUUGCUCGGAAUCAUUGGGCGUAAAGCGCACGUAGGCGGCCCAGCAAGUCGGGUGUGAAAGCCCUCGGCUUAACCGAGGAAGUGCAUUCGAAACUACUGAGCUUGAAUACUGGAGAGGAUCGCGGAAUUCCCGGUGUAGAGGUGAAAUUCGUAGAUAUCGGGAGGAACACCAGUGGCGAAGGCGGCGAUCUGGACAGAUAUUGACGCUGAGGUGCGAAAGCGUGGGGAGCAAACAGG
rnacentral:rRNA from 1 species